CAGGGAGAUUAGACAACUGCCAUCCGUCGCGUAAAGCUAUGGAUGGAGGAAAGUCCGAACACCUCCGCCAUAAUGGCGGAAAAAAGGUAAUCGCUAACAGCGACCGGCAUAAGUUGAUACGAGAGGUCUCUCGAGAACUUUCGUGCUGACAAAACUAGGGCAAGUGCAACAGAGAAAAAACUGCCGAUGAAUCUCGCUUGCGAGAGAACAGGCACAAGGUGAAACUGUGGGGUAAAAGCCCACAUGCUGGCAUGGCGACAUGCCAGAAAGGCAAACCCUACCUGGUGAAAGGGCGAAUUUGGUAGCCCGCAUGACCUCGCAUGCAAAUGCGAGGCUAGAGAGAUGGUUGUCACUGAUUUUGUUUGCGAGCGAAGCGAGUAAUUACAAAAUCGUGAUCCGCCUUUGGCGGAUCCGUACCCGCCAGAGGCGGGUGCUCGAUUUCGUAGCCUCGCUAUCGCUCGGACGAAAUCGGCACAGAAUUCGGCUUAUCAAUUUCCCUGGCUG
rnacentral:RNase_P_RNA from 2 species